rnacentral:tRNA from 1 species
GGAAUGUGGCUCUGUGGUAGAGUGCUUGCCUAGCAUGCAUGAAGCCCUGGGUUCGAUUCCUCAGCACCA